rnacentral:snRNA from 14 species
GGAUGUGAGGGCGAUCUGGCUGCGACAUCUGUCACCCCAUUGAUCGCCAGGGUUGAUUCGGCUGAUCUGGCUGGCUAGGCGGGUGUCCCCUUCCUCCCUCACCGCUCCAUGUGCGUCCCUCCCGAAGCUGCGCGCUCGGUCGAAGAGGACGACCAUCCCCGCUAGAGGAGGACCGGUCUUCGGUCAAGGGUAUACGAGUAGCUGCGCUCCCCUGCUAGAACCUCCAAACAAGCUCUCAAGGUCCAUUUGUAGGAGAACGUAGGGUAGUCAAGCUUCCAAGACUCCAGACACAUCCAAAUGAGGCGCUGCACGUGGCAGUCUGCCUUUCUUU